rnacentral:rRNA from 1 species
UUCCAGACUCCUACGGGAGGCAGCAGUGGGGAAUAUUGCACAAUGGGGGAAACCCUGAUGCAGCAACGCCGCGUGAGUGAAGAAGUAUUUCGGUAUGUAAAGCUCUAUCAGCAGGGAAGAAAAUGACGGUACCUGAAGAAGAAGCCCCGGCUAACUACGUGCCAGCAGCCGCGGUAAUACGUAGGGGGCAAGCGUUAUCCGGAUUUACUGGGUGUAAAGGGGGCGCAGACGGCGAUGCAAGCCAGGAGUGAAAGCCCGGGGCCCAACCCCGGGACUGCUCUUGGAACUGCGUGGCUGGAGUGCAGGAGGGGCAGGCGGAAUUCCUGGUGUAGCGGUGAAAUGCGUAGAUAUCAGGAGGAACACCGGUGGCGAAGGCGGCCUGCUGGACUGCAACUGACGUUGAGGCCCGAAAGCGUGGGGAGCAAACAGGAUUAGAUACCCUCGUAC